rnacentral:rRNA from 1 species
CCUACGGGAUGCAGCAGUAGGGAAUCUUCCACAAUGGGCGAAAGCCUGAUGGAGCAACGCCGCGUGGGUGAAGAAGGUCUUCGGAUCGUAAAACCCUGUUGUUAGAGAAGAAAGUGCGUGAGAGUAACUGUUCACGUUUCGACGGUAUCUAACCAGAAAGCCACGGCUAACUACGUGCCAGCAGCCGCGGUAAUACGUAGGUGGCAAGCGUUAUCCGGGUUUAUUGGGCGUAAAGGGCACGCAGGCGGUCUUUUAAGUCUGAUGUGAAAGCCUUCGGCUUAACCGGAGUAGUGCAUUGGAAACUGGGAGACUUGAGUGCAGAAGAGGAGAGUGGAACUCGAGGUGUAGCGGUGAAAUGCGUAGAUAUAUGGAAGAACACCAGUGGCGAAAGCGGCUCUCUGGGCUGUAACUGACGCUGAGGUUCGAAAGCGUGGGUAGCAAACAGGAUUAGAUACCCGGGUAGUC